rnacentral:lncRNA from 1 species
AUAGUGAAAGGGAUCUCAAAGAACUAGAAGUCGAUCCUUCUUUUAAAGCAUUUUCAGCUGAUGAAGUCACAGUCCUUUUACACUAAUGGAGGCUCGAUAAACUAUAUUUCAUGUUGGUGUGUUAAUCUGGUGCUUUUUAAGUCAGUUUGAAAAGUUAAAUAUAAUUAAGAGAUUCCCAACUCAUGCGUUAGCAAAUGCACCCUCUAAUUUUUUUUAUAUUUGUUUUCUU